rnacentral:rRNA from 1 species
UACAGGGGGUGCAAGCGUUGUUCGGAAUUACUGGGCGUAAAGGGCUUGUAGGCGGCUAACUAAGUCCGACGUGAAAUCCCAAAGCUUAACUUUGGAACUGCGUCGGAUACUGGAUGGCUUGAAUUCGGGAGAGGGAUGCAGAAUUCCAGGUGUAGCGGUGAAAUGCGUAGAUAUCUGGAGGAAUACCGGUGGCGAAGGCGGCCUCCUGGACCGACAUUGACGCUGAGGAGCGAAAGCUAGGGGAGCAAACGGG